rnacentral:rRNA from 1 species
AGCGAACGCUGGCGGUAGGCCUAACACAUGCAAGUCGAACGGCAGCACAGUAAGAGCGUGCGCUUACGGGUGGCGAGUGGCGGACGGGUGAGGAAUACAUCGGGAUCUACUUUUUCGUGGGGGAUAACGAAGGGAAACUUACGCUAAUACAGCAUACGACCCACGGGUGAAAGCAGGGGAUCUUCGGACCUUGCGCGAUUGAAUGAGCCGCUGUUGGAUUAGCUAGUUGGCGGGGUAAAGGCCAAGCAAGUCGCCGGUCCGUGGCUGGUGUGGGAGACGGGUCGGCCACCCUGGAGCUUAGACACCGUCCAGGCUCCUACGGGAGGCAGCAGUGGGGAAUAUUGGACAAUGGGCGCAAGCCUGGUCCAGCCAUACCGCGUCGGUUGAGAAGGCCUUCCGGUUGUAAAGCCCUUUUGUUGGGAAAGAAAAGCAGCAGGUUGUUACCCCGCUGUUCUGACGGUACCCAAAGAAUAAGCACCGGCUAACUUCGUG